GACGAACGCUGGCGGCGUGCUUAACACAUGCAAGUCGAACGGGGUUAAGGAGCUUGCUUCUUAACUUAGUGGCGGACGGGUGAGUAACGCGUGAGUAACCUGCCCUUGAGAGGGGAAUAACGUUCUGAAAAGAACGCUAAUACCGCAUAACAUAUAUUUGUCGCAUGGCAGAUAUAUCAAAGAUUUUAUCGCUCAAGGAUGGACUCGCGUCCGAUUAGUUAGUUGGUGAGGUAACGGCUCACCAAGACCGCGAUCGGUAGCCGGACUGAGAGGUUGAACGGCCACAUUGGGACUGAGACACGGCCCAGACUCCUACGGGAGGCAGCAGUGGGGGAUAUUGCGCAAUGGGGGCAACCCUGACGCAGCAACGCCGCGUGAAGGAUGAAGGUCUUCGGAUUGUAAACUUCUUUUAUUAAGGACGAAUAAAUGACGGUACUUAAUGAAUAAGCUCCGGCUAACUACGUGCCAGCAGCCGCUGUAACAC
rnacentral:rRNA from 1 species